rnacentral:rRNA from 1 species
CGAAGAUGGCGACCGGCGCACGGGUGAGUAACACGUAUCCAACCUGCCGAUAACUCGGGGAUAGCCUUUCGAAAGAAAGAUUAAUACCCGAUGGUAUAAUCAGACCGCAUGGUUUGAUUAUUAAAGAAUUUCGGUUAUCGAUGGGGAUGCGUUCCAUUAGGCAGUUGGUGAGGUAACGGCUCACCAAACCUUCGAUGGAUAGGGGUUCUGAGAGGAAGGUCCCCCACAUUGGAACUGAGACACGGUCCAA